AAAGAUUAAGCCAUGCAUGUCUAAGUAUAAGCAAUUUAUACAGUGAAACUGCGAAUGGCUCAUUAAAUCAGUUAUCGUUUAUUUGAUAGUACCUUUACUACUUGGAUAACCGUGGUAAUUCUAGAGCUAAUACAUGCUAAAAAUCCCGACUGUUUGGAAGGGAUGUAUUUAUUAGAUAAAAAAUCAAUGCUUUUCGGAGCUCUUUGAUGAUUCAUAAUAACUUUUCGAAUCGCAUGGCCUUGUGCUGGCGAUGGUUCAUUCAAAUUUCUGCCCUAUCAACUUUCGAUGGUAGGAUAGUGGCCUACCAUGGUUU
rnacentral:rRNA from 1 species